GAAAACAAGAAAUAUUCAUAAUCAAUUGUCUUUGGUACCUUUUGAGGAAAGGGCGAAAGAAAGCCCCCGAAUAAAUGGUGCUGCAUUUCUCAGCAAGUGUAUUGCCUGGUUCUGGGCGUGCUGUUGGCACUCAGGUUUUUUUAACAGCCUGUAUAUUUGUAAUUGGAAUUGCUAAAAAAUGUCUCUGUCUUUCUCAGUGCUCCAAACCAACAAGCUGGGACAGUCACCAGGGCGUUGGAGAAAAUCUUGGAUUUGUCCAGGAAGAUUCCAGGGGGAAAGAAAAGACAGACAGAGAUUUUAUCACCUGCAUUUUAAAAUAAGGACUUUAUAAUCUUGUAAUCAGCACAGAUGUGAAAGCACUCAAAUAGAGAAUAAGAGAAGCUGAAACCAAGUCUUCAGUGAUUACUACAAGGCUUCUCUCAAGAGAAGACUCAGCUACCAUCACCUGGGGACCCUGAAAGAAAAACAGAGACACCUGAAUUCAACCAGGAUGUUCCCUGUCCAAGCUAUGAGACCCAUACACCCCAAAUCUCCUGACCAGGUAACACCACCAGGCACACAACACAAGGCAAGCUGUUCACAGGUAGCCUACAAACUGUCCAAGGACACCAAGGGGAGAAGGCACUGCACAAAGUAAUUGCAGAUGCAGUUUCUCAGGACUCCUUCCUCCCCAUCUCUCACCCCCUUUGGAGCCAUGUGGCACAACAGCACCGUGUGAAACAGAGAGAAAAACAUAAACCACGAGACUCGAACAUGUAACUUUUUAAAAGCUUUAAGAGGAAGGAAGUCAGCCUCUAAAUGAACUCUAAACCCUACAAUAAUUACAUGAAAGGGACUGGAGUAGCAUGAAAAUGUGAACUGCCUUCUUGAGAGCUGCAACAUUGAUUAUACAGGAGAUGCUGUCAGAAGGACUAAUGUGUUAAAGGUGGAGAAAUGAGGAUGAUUUGGCUACAAGACUGUGGCACCACUCCAGUGAAUCAAGAACCUUUAAAGGAGACAGAAAGUGCAAGAGAAGAGGAACUUACCCUUCUGUAUCUUUGUUACCUAGCAUUAGUGAAAAGAGAUAAAACUAAGAGAGUGCACCACGGUAGAGAUGAAUACAAGGUAAAUAUGCAGUCCAGCACAGCCAGGGCUUCCAAUCCAACACAUAUCUUGGAAGGUGUGAAACAUAACCAGCAGUCUAAAAAGUGUGGCUGUGGGGACUGAUGUCCUUGGUUUUGGGGGCAGAGGGAGGCAGCAAAGGGUAGAAAUGCAGAAGACUGCAGAGAGAGACCUGACAGCUCUGAGUAAAUCAAAGUCCCUGAGGGGAGAUGCUGGUGUGCACACAAAUAGGCUGCUCCAUGAAUAAGCUUGAAAGGUUUCACACCUGAUAACCCACUGUGCUUCC